GAUGAACGCUGGCGGCGUGCCUAAUACAUGCAAGUAGAACGCUGAAGUAGGAGCUUGCUCUUCUGGAUGAGUUGCGAACGGGUGAGUAACGCGUAGGUAACCUGCCUGGUAGCGGGGGAUAACUAUUGGAAACGAUAGCUAAUACCGCAUGACAACAGUUAUUGCAUGAUAACUGUUUAAAAGGGGCAACUGCUCCACUACCAGAUGGACCUGCGUUGUAUUAGCUAGUUGGUGAGGUAACGGCUCACCAAGGCGACGAUACAUAGCCGACCUGAGAGGGUGAUCGGCCACACUGGGACUGAGACACGGCCCAGACUCCUACGGGAGGCAGCAGUAGGGAAUCUUCGGCAAUGGACGGAAGUCUGACCGAGCAACGCCGCGUGAGUGAAGAAGGUUUUCGGAUCGUAAAGCUCUGUUGUAAGAGAAGAACGAGUGUGAGAGUGGAAAGUUCACACUGUGACGGUAUCUUACCAGAAAGGGACGGCUAACUACGUG
rnacentral:rRNA from 1 species